rnacentral:misc_RNA from 1 species
GAUGAAGAACGUAGCGAAAUGCGAUAAGUAAUGUGAAUUGCAGAAUUCAGUGAAUCAUCGAAUCUUUGAACGCACAUUGCGCCCCUUGGUAUUCCGAGGGGCAUGCCUGUUCGAGCGUCAUUAUAACCCCUCAAGCUCAGCUUGGUGUUGGGGCCUGCUGCACUGGCAGCCCUUAAAAUCAGUGGCGGCGCCAUCUGGCUCUAAGCGUAGUAAUUCUUCUCGCUAUGGAGUCCUGGUGGAUGCUUGCCAUCAACCCCCAAUUUUUCUAUGGUUGACCUCGGAUCAGGUAGGGAUACCCACUGAACUUAAGCAUAUCAAUAAGCGGAGA